CACAGACACAUGACAACAACAAUCACAUAUCUGCAACACAGAGGAAUGAAAUUCCCAACGCUGUUUUCAGCUAAAGGAUGUCCUAAAGGUAAAGGUAAAAGGACCCCUGACCAUUAGGUCCAGGCAUGACCAACUCUGGGGUUGUGGCGCUCAUCUCGCUUUAUUGGCUGAGGGAGCCAGCAUGACUAAGCCACUUCUGGCGAACCAGAGCAGCGCAUGGAAACGCUGUUUACCUUCCCGCUGGAGCAAUACCUAUUUAUCUACUUGCACUUUAAUGUGCUUUCAAACUGCUAGGUUGGCAUGAGCAAGGACCGAGCAAUGGGAGCUCACCCCGUUGUGGGGAUUCGAACCGCCGACCUUCUGACUGGCAAGUCAUAGGCUCUGUGGUUUAGACCACAGUGCCACCCGCAUCCUAGAUAGCUGUUUAAUAGCAAUAGUUGGAUCCAGCACUUUAAGUGCUAAAACACACGCUUUAAACACCCAGAUGACACAUGGCCAUUUUCUUUCUCUCUGAAAAGAUGGAAACAGUGGCUCUUUCCAAAGAAGAAUUGGACCAAUUGCCUACAUAGAUACUGGUCUCCAGAGAGGGCACACAUGUUAUUUAUAGGCCACCAUGUUAUUUGCCUAGAGGAGGGGAAUACCACUUUGGGCAGAGAACCAGUGGGCCUUGGAAUUACAGGCAGAGCUUGGUGUAGGCCAGGCAUGGCCAACAGGUAGAUUGUGAUCUACUGGUAGAUCACUGGACAUCUGUGGUAGAUCACUGGUAGAUCAGUAGCUCUUCCCAAAGAAGCUCAACAACUUUGGCUCCCCUAAAAACAGCUCAACAACUUUUCAGGAGGUAGAUCACUGCCACUUUUAACUCUGUGAGUAGAUCGCAUUCUCUUGGGAGUUGGCCACCUCUGGUGUAGGCCAAGGGUAGUCAAUAUGGCGGGGCUAUGUCUGGGGUUUGACAGGAGUUGUGUACUUUUGUGGACAUCAUGUUGGCUACCCUUGAUGUAGUCUAUUACAUGUCAUGUGAGAUGGGAGAGUACUUACAGAAAGUGUACAAUAGACUUAAUCUAAGUCAAGCUGAGGACAUUUCCCUUACACAAGCUGAGUGACUGUGCAGUUCAGUUGCUUCCAAGUUUCCAAAACUUUUCCAAGUUGUGUCCUAAGGGCUAGUCAUGGACUCCACAGUUAAUUGGAACCUUAAUACCCACCUUCUAUGAACUCCUGGAAACAUUCUUCAAGUUUUGACUUUAAAAAUAAAUGAAAUUUCAAGGGGGGAAUUCAAAGCAAAACAAAAACAUGUACUUUUCUUUUGCAUGUAAACAAAACUAAAAAUACUGUGUCAGUUCACCCUUAGUUCUAGACCAAAUUUAAACAAGGCAACAGUGAGACCCCAGCAGGUUUAUGUGGUUCCCAACACAAAUUUAGCUUGCCUCUGAAAACAUAGCCCAGAUUCCUUAGCAAUACACUGGAGUUAUUUGGCAGACAUGAAUGGUACCUUGGCGGAUGAGUAGAUAUGGAUGGAGUUCCCUGGGGGGGGUUAAACAUGUGAGAACCAGACCCAGAAUAUGUUGUCUUUUACAAGUCAAAACUAGCAUCAUGAAUUGUGUACGGAAGACAAUAAGGAAGCAUUAUGGACCCCGGAGAACUGUUAGAUUACCAUUUUAAGAGUCUUCUGUUACAUGUUCUUUUUGCAGCAGAGCUUUGAUAAUGAUUAUCAUCUCAGUAGACUAGUCUCAAAGAAUACACAUGAAUAAAGUUGCAAUCCUUGGAAGGGAAAAAAAGUUCUUCUCAUUACAGCUUGUUUCCUGCUGACAGUACAUAUUUUUUAACAUAACAUAGAUAUUAUGUAAAUUAAUCCAAGGCAGGCUGCUGGAGAUCUAGAAGCCUUCAUGCAAUUAAAUAUACAUGGGCUAUUUUGAAGUUUAAUUAGUGUUAAACUUCUUGUAGGUAGCAGAAAUGAAGUUCAUCCUCUUGGCAGGAUUUUAAAUUCGUAACUGCUGAAGAAAAAUAAUGGCUGUCGCUAUAAUUGUUUCUGCUUUGAGAAAGCAAAGUGAACAUCUAAUACACAGAAAAAGAAUGACGAGGGGAAGUGGGAAUGCAAAGGAGAUUAUAAUGUUGUGUGGGAAAUGUUACAAAAAUGGAAGGGAAAAGAAUCAGAAUUUCUGGGUACAACUCACAGUAUCCUCUGGAUCAGCUGAAAAUUUAAUCAGAAGCCUUCUGGGGGAUGUGCUAGUGCCAUUGUACUGAACUUGUUUGAAGAGUAAAAAGUGAGGUUGGCAGUAUGAGCCUUGUCAGGUUCUGGUAUUAUUCUAUAGAUGCUUCCAAGUCAUCUUUGGGUGAUAGCUCAUUGCGUUCUUGAGCUGUGGCUUCCCUGAGCAACUUGGUUUGAGACAGCUUCUUCCACCUUGGACUUGGGGCCAUUGACUCUUUGUCAGUGGCAUGCCCCCUCAAGCCUAGCUCUCACUUACGGCACAGCACUGACAGGCACAUGCUACCAGCUGCUGUACUGGCAAAGAAGCCUACAGGAUAAAGUGAAUUGAUUGCUGCAUUAUGGCAACAUCAUGGCCAUUUGCCCUGCAAGAGGCAAAGUGAACCCAAUGGGGAUGUUAUGUAAGGCAGCUCCAAAGGCUAUUGCUGCAGAUCCUGUGCAUUUUCAGAUGAUAAUGAUAAUAAUUAAUAAUAAUAAUAAUAAUAAUAAUAAUAAUAAUUUUUAUUUAUGCCCCACUCUCCCCAGCCAAGGCCGGGCUCGGGGCGGCUAACAAGCAAUAAUAAAAACAAAUUGAAUGAAUACAACUUAAAAACAAGAUUAAAAUACAACACUAAAAUAUUGAAACAUUAAAAUAUUAAAAUGCAGCCUCAUCACAGGAGGAGAAGGAAAAGAAAAAAGAAAGAGAGGGAGGGAAUCAAAUUGGCUCCAAGCCAAAGGCCAGGCAGAACAGGCCCUGCGGAAAGAAAUCAGAUCCUACAGGGCCCUGGUCUCAUGAGACAGAGCAUUCCACAAGGCCAGAGCCAGUGUAGAAAAGGCCCUGGCUCUGGUUGAAGCUAAUCUAACUUCCUUAGGGCCUGGGACCACUAGGGUGUUGCUAUUUAUGGACCUUAAGGUCCUCCGUGGGGCAUACCGGGAGAGGCGGUUAUGUGCUGUGUCAGGAUCAGAUGAAGAAUGAGAUAAAAUUAGGUACUUAGAGGCUAUAUUGGGGCAAUUAUUAGGCAUAAGAGAAGAAUAGUGUGGGGCUUCUUUAACUGAUUACAACAUGACACGGAAGGAAUAAUGAUAAGAUAUUGGAGCAAAGUAUUGGAAGACACAAGAUUUACCCACUCUGGAAGAAUGGCAGAUGAAGGUGAUUGACUACAUGGAAUUGGCAGAAAUGACUGGCAGAAUCCGAGACCAGGGAGAAGAGUCGGUGAAAGAAGACUGGAAGAAAUUUAAAGACUAUUUACAGAAGUAUUGUAAAAUUAAUGAAUCUUAGAAGGAUGUUGGAUAGAAACUAAGUGGUUUCCAGCUGUAAUGCUUUAAGAGAUACGAAAAAAAGGUUUACAAAUGGGUAAAAGCUUAAUGGUAAGGAUUUGCUGAACUAACAAACUGAACUGGAAUACAAAAAAGGGAGGUACGAGGAGGUCCGGGGAAAUAAGUGUAAGGAAGAUAUGCUAUGGAAAAUUAAUGUGUUUUUAACUGUUUUUAUUUUGUAUGCUUCUUUUUAUUUUUCAUUUCUUUGUUAUACCUUAAUAAGGGUUUUUUUAUUCUUCUUGCUGUAUUUUGUAUUUUCCUGUAUUUUUAUUUUUUGUUUUUGUGUAAUUCUUGUAUUCUUUCAAAUUUUAAUAAAUAUCAUUAAAAAAAAAAAAAGAUAUUGGAGCAGGGUGGUUACAGCACAACCAUCUCCUGUUGUAAGGGUUCAGGUAUUCCUGAGAACCGAUGUAGCUCACUGCUGGAGCAGAAAUUGAAACCCUGGUCACCUCCAGGUUGCAAGAUACCUGUAUGAAAUCCUACAAUGCUGAUCAUUGUAGAUAAUUCUAAGUUAGGUGGACCAAUAGAUUGACUCAAUAAAAUACAUACUUCAUUUUCUUUCAUAUGAUAAUGUAGGAAAUAGUAACUUCUUAAAGAUGUUUCAAGCUGCUGUGAAGACCUGAUGUUCAAGGCAUGUGUUAUAGAUUAAAUGAAUAAUAAUAAGGUUGUGGGUUGAGGGAUUGAAGAUAUCUCAUCAAUGCACUGUCCUCAGUAAAACCAUUUCAGCAAUGACAGCUGCAGUUAAAUUCAGGGCUGCUUCAUAUACUCUUAAGAUCCUCCAUACAAAGUGACCCCCACACCGAGAGUAGAUGCCGCUAAUGCAAUUCCAGUGAAUAUUUGCUGCUCCUGGAAGCAAGAGAGAGAAGAGGGGUCAUGUGUGAUUUUCUUCUCCAACAGAAGUGGCAGGAUGCAGCAAUGGGCAGCCAUUAAUUCACAACUCACGCCACGACUCUCUGCAGGCGACGGACAUUUGUACAGCAGUUCCGCAAAAAGUCAACAGACAGCACACAGGAGUGUUGUUGUCUUGAUGAACAGAAAUGAAAGCUGGCACAGGGGAAAUAACACAGCGGGGUAGUUGAGUGACCUGAGCCAUCGUGGAGGGAAAGGGAGAGACUGUGGAAGACCCGUGUACAGAGAGAGAAAGCUCCUCUGCUGGACUGUAAAUAAAGAAUUUAUUGAAGAAGGCUCAGC